rnacentral:rRNA from 1 species
UACGAAGGGUGCAAACGUUGCUCGGAAUUACUGGGCGUAAAGCGCGUGUAGGCGGCCAUCUAAGUCGGGCGUGAAAUCCCACGGCUCAACCGUGGAAGUGCACUCGAAACUGGAUGGCUAGAGUCCUGGAGAGGAAGGUGGAAUGCUUGGUGUAGAGGUGAAAUUCGUAGAUAUCAAGCGGAACACCGAUGGCGAAGGCAGGUCUCUGGGCAUUAACUGACGCUGAGGAGCGAAAGCAUGGGGAGCGAACAGG